ACACCUCAACUCUCAUGGCUUGCCAUGAUGAGCUUGGACUUUGGGGGUCUUGCUGGCCUGCGGUCGGCUCCUCUCAAAUGAAUCAGCUUGCCAGUGUUUGGUGGCAUCACAGGUGUGAUAACUAUCUACGCUUGUGGUUUUCCACCAGGUAACCUUCAGUGAUGGAGGUUCGCUGGAGCUCAUAAACGUCUCUCCUCGGUGAGGACAGCUCUUUGAAC
rnacentral:misc_RNA from 2 species